UACGGGGGGGGCAAGCGUUGUUCGGAAUUACUGGGCGUAAAGGGCGCGUAGGCGGUUCGCUAAGUUGAAUGUGAAAACUCUGGGCUUAACCCAGGGCCUGCAUUCAAUACUGGCGGGCUAGAGUUCUGGAGGGGAUAGCGGAAUUCCUGGUGUAGCGGUGAAAUGCGUAGAUAUCAGGAGGAACACCGGUGGCGAAGGCGGCUAUCUGGACAGAGUCUGACGCUGAGGCGCGAAAGCUAGGGGAGCAAACAGG
rnacentral:rRNA from 1 species